AGCAAUAUAAUGUAAUUGGUAACAUAUUAGGCUCAUGACCUAAACAUAUACGUUCAACUCGUAUUAUUGCUA
rfam:Kluyveromyces lactis mitochondrion, complete genome.